rnacentral:tRNA from 1 species
GCAGUCGAGGCCGAGUGGUUAAGGCAAUGAACUAGUAAUCCAUUGGGGUCUCCCUGCACAGGGUCGAAUCCUGUCGACUGCG